UACGUAGGGGGCAAGCGUUGUUCGGAAUUACUGGGCGUAAAGCGCGCGUAGGCGGUUUGGAAAGUCAGAUGUGAAAGCCCCGGGCUCAACUUGGGAACUGCAUUUGAUACUGCCAGACUAGAGUACAGAAGAGGUGACUGGAAUUCCCAGUGUAGCGGUGAAAUGCGUAGAUAUUGGGAGGAUCACCAGAUGCGAAGGCGGGUCACUGGGCUGAUACUGACGCUGAUGCGCGAAAGCCAGGGGAGCGAACGGG
rnacentral:rRNA from 1 species